CUACGUAGGGGGCGAGCGUUGUCCGGAAUGAUUGGGCGUAAAGGGCGCGUAGGCGGCUUUGCAAGUCAGUAGUGGAAGUCCAUUUUUCAAGGAUGGAAGUGCUACAGAAACUGCGAAGCUUGAGUGCAGGAGAGGUUAUCGGAAUUCCCGGUGUAGCGGUGAAAUGCGUAGAGAUCGGGAGGAACACCAGUGGCGAAGGCGGGUAACUGGACUGCAACUGACGCUGAGGCGCGAAAGUGUGGGGAGCAAACAGGAUUAGAUACCCUGGUAGUCCACGCUGUAAACGAUGAAUACUAGGUGUCGGGGAGCGACAAGCUGUUCGGUGCCGCAGCAAACGCAAUAAGUAUUCCACCUGGGGAGUACGUUCGCAAGAAUGAAACUCAAAGGAAUUGACGGGG
rnacentral:rRNA from 1 species